rnacentral:lncRNA from 1 species
UUUGCAGUUAAAUUGUGUUUUGCAUUCACAUUAACAAAAUAAAUCUUUAAUGUAAAAGCUCGAAAGUAUUAUACAUAUAAUUAGUUAUAAAGUUAUAUUUUCAUUAAUUUGUUAAAAAGAUAUAAACAACGUAUAAACUAAAGCGGUAAAUAAAUUUGAAAGAAAAAUAACAUUUGCUUGUUAUGCGGGGAAGAUGAUGAAUCUCGCAAUCACCUCUUAUUUGAAUGCUCUUUCUCUUCAAGGGUGUGAAAUGCUACGGAGGUUUCACUCAUCUUCAGUGCCGUUGAUGUGGUCUAAUAUUUUACAGUGGCUGCCUAAUGCCCACUCGGACUAUGGUUAAACUGGCAAUUCUUCAAGUAUGGCAAGCAGCUAUAUAUGAACUCUGCAAAGAGAGGAACAGACGGUUGCAUGAUGGUUUGACUUUACCGCCUGUUCAUAUUCAUGAGAUACAUAUCUGAUUAUCUGAGGGAUAAAUGAUCUGCAUUACUGUCCCUUAGCCACCCGCUUGGUCCCCGCCUGCCGCAGUUCUGGUUUGAUCCCCCAUAAUCGCCGGUCUUCCUCUGCUCUCCUCAUCUUUUAAUCUAUCAGUCAUGUAUUUGAUCCAUCUUUGUUCUUCUUAUAUUUUGUAAAAUGGUGCUUGCUUGCCUUAUAUAUUAGCUAGCUACGUUCUUUAUUAAUGAAAAUCCUUUAACAAAAAAAAAAUAAUAAAAUGAUUAAGAUUUUGAAACAAGGCAGUUUCCUAGUAGCUUACUCUUACCCACUAGACCAUUGGAAACCACGUAACAGUGGUAUUAUUCGGUAUGGACGACCACAAGUUGUUCCGUUGAACUAAGGCCAACUCCAAAAGAACACCAAUAUACC